rnacentral:rRNA from 1 species
UACGGUGGGGGCAAGCGUUGUUCGGAAUUACUGGGCGUAAAGGGCUCGUAGGCGGCCAACUAAGUCCGACGUGAAAUCCCCAGGCUCAACCUGGGAACUGCGUCGGAUACUGGAUGGCUUGAAUUCGGGAGAGGGAUGCAGAAUUCCAGGUGUAGCGGUGAAAUGCGUAGAUAUCUGGAGGAAUACCGGUGGCGAAGGCGGCAUCCUGGACCGACAUUGACGCUGAGGAGCGAAAGCUAGGGGAGCAAACGGG